rnacentral:rRNA from 1 species
UACGGGGGGGGCAAGCGUUGUUCGGAAUUACUGGGCGUAAAGGGCUUGUAGGUGGCCAACUAAGUCAGACGUGAAAUCCCUCGGCUUAACCGGGGAACUGCGUCUGAUACUGGAUGGCUUGAGUAUGGGAGAGGGUAGUGGAAUUCCCGGUGUAGCGGUGAAAUGCGUAGAUAUCGGGAGGAACAUCAGUGGCGAAGGCGGCUACCUGGCCCAAUACUGACACUCAGGUGCGACAGCGUGGGGAGCAAACAGG